rnacentral:rRNA from 1 species
CCUACGGGAGGCUGCAGUGAGGAAUAUUGGUCAAUGGACGAGAGUCUGAACCAGCCAAGUAGCGUGAAGGAUGACUGCCCUAUGGGUUGUAAACUUCUUUUAUAGAGGAAUAAAGUGCUCCACGUGUGGGAUUUUGUAUGUACUUUAUGAAUAAGGAUCGGCUAACUCCGUGCCAGCAGCCGCGGUAAUACGGAGGAUCCGAGCGUUAUCCGGAUUUAUUGGGUUUAAAGGGAGCGUAGGUGGAUUGUUAAGUCAGUUGUGAAAGUUUGCGGCUCAACCGUAAAAUUGCAAUUGAUACUGGCAGUCUUGAGUACAGUAGAGGUGGGCGGAAUUCGUGGUGUAGCGGUGAAAUGCUUAGAUAUCACGAAGAACUCCGAUUGCGAAGGCAGUUCACUGAACUGCAACUGACAUUGAGGCUCGAAAGUGUGGGUAUCAAACAGGAUUAGAUACCCCAGUAGUC